rfam:Triticum urartu cultivar G1812 contig296693, whole genome shotgun sequence.
AGUGCUGAUGAUGAGUGAAGUUCUUGCCUACAUUGUUUGACAAAUAGUAUGUGAUGAUAAUUGCUGCAUCUGAGGCUUGU